rnacentral:tRNA from 1 species
GCGGCCUUGGCGCGGGUCUCGGCGACCUCCGACUCCGGGUCGGAGUGGCGUACGAGGGUGGCGCCGACGCCGAUCCCGACCCGGCCGGCGGCG